UGAAAGGGGGCAAAUUUAUCAUAAAGAUGUCAAACAAGAACAUUGAAUGUAUCUUUUAAAAUGCAGAUCGGCCUAAGUGGCUACAAAUCAUUUGAGCUCCAGUAUUACGUUUGGGUUUCAGCGCGCAUUCCUCGGUCACCUGUUUUCUCUUAGCAGCACAUGUCAAAGAGUGAGUGAAGAUAAACCCAGCUGCUUUUCGUAUUCAUUUCAGGCAGCACUUAGCGUCCCCUUUUAACUCCAGCCAGCCUCCAGCCCUAAGCUCUCAGAUCACCAGAGGCCGAAAUGAAAAUAAACAAUUUGUAGUAUAGCAGAUGAUGCCUGGAAGUGUUGGGAUAUUUAAGAAUGCCACAUAAAUCUUCCAUAAUGGAGUAAAGGGAAAUUAUAGACUUAUUGAAGCUCAAGUGGGCAGGUAAUUUCUCAGCAGUUGUUAUUCAGGGAACCCACAAAGCAGCCACAGAGGUAGACUGCAGCACUAUUCUAUUUUCCACCAGCAGCAAUCUGUCUUUCACUCAAAGAUGGUAUUGUAUUCGCCCCGCCGUGUCGUGGAAAGCCCCUCUCCCUCCUCCUCUGGCCUGCACAAUGAGACAAGGGUCAGCCUGUCUUUCCUCUACUGUGUUUUUGAUUCACUUCUGCUUUAGGAAAAUGUUGUGUAAACUUUGACCCCCAGCAGUGACCCUUUAAACCCUUUGGCACCACCUACAUGAGACUUCUUAGCCAGUGUUGAGGUGAUCAAUUCUUCAACGGAGCUGCAGCUUAACAUCACACGGGUCAUUAAGGUUAAACCCUGGGUCAUAUUUCUAGAAAUUUGUGGGUAUACCAGGGGUUAACAUGCAAUGAAUGAACACAUCCCAUUAAAAAGCUUAACUUAUUUCAGAAAUUAUGCUGAUAUUGCACUAAAAAAAAUACAUAAAGUAUUUAAGAUUAUGAGAUAAAUUCAUACAAAUAGAGAUUGUAGAGAGGUGAAUUACAAGUCACACUAAAGCUCUUGUCUUACAUGGUGUUUCAGUGGUGUUUUUUUCUCAUGCGAAAGAAGCAUCAGUUUCCCUUUCAGUAAAAGUAGCAUCACCACAAUGUAAAAAUACUUCAUGACAAGACAAAGAGCAGUAUUCAGAGCUAAAGAAGUUCGAUAUAUUUUAGUUUAAUGGUCUUGCCUAUGCUUCUUUUGUGUUGUAUAGAAACUUUCGCAUUAACAGUGUUUCAGUUUUACAAGGAAGUACAGAAAACUUCCACAGCUUCUCUUGAGUUUGAGGGUUUACAAUCAUGCUUCAUACUUAAAUAUAAGCUCAGGUUUGGGUUUAAUCACCAGAGUAACAAAAAUGGUUCGUAAAUGUUAUGAAAUGAAAACAAAUAACUUGCUUCUGAAAUUAAGUUAAAUUAAAGGUUUGCUCCAACUCAGAUAAACAUGCAGGGAUGAGGAGGAGUGUUACAAAAAAUGUGAGGGAUACUUUAACCCAUUGUUGUACAUCACAAAUUUUUAUUUCUGUUUUGGUGGUUGAUUUGAGUAACCCUUAUUAUUAUUAGCAAUUGUUUUUAUUGUCUGCAACAAUCAAGACGGGGGACUAACUCAUUACAUUUGAAUGUUACUGUGGUGAUAGUUAAGCUGCUUUUUCAUGUACCUUCACUUGUCUCAGCUAUUUUAAAACAAAAGCUUUUCUUUUAAAGUUUUUUUAUGUUUAAAGUUUUAAAGUCUUUACUUAGAAUUAGUGGCUGAGUAAAACAAUGCAGAGAAAUGCAAAUGUUCCUGUGUAUGCAUACCAGCAUUGACCUGACAGGUUCAAAUUCACAAAUACUUUAAGAUAUUUCAAGACUAUGGUUCUAAUAACUUACUUCAAAUCACUAUUAAACCAUAUUCCACACUUUUUUUCCACUCUCUUGCCUACAACUUAGGCCUACAUCUUCUCCACUUUGACCUCAAGACACAAGUUUGGCACUUCUUGCCACACAGUUUGCUGAUUUAAGUAGUUUGCAGAUUUUGUCACAUAACAAAAAUAUAACCUUCUCAGACGCAAUUAAAGUGAUAGAUAAAUUAAAAUGCAUCAUGAAAUAUUAUAAAUUUACACAAUUAUUAGCCCAAUUUGGACAAUGCUUAAAAGUUCAAUUACUUAUAAUAUACACAUACACGUGCAAUUUUAAUCUACGGUAGGCCAUUUCAAGUCCACAAAUUUCCUUGUAACAGAGUAUUCUUGUAAUAUUAGUCGGCGACCUUGGCUUGACUCAAAGUAAAAGCUCUGUGUCUGUCUGUCUGUGUGUGCUUCCUCCACGUCUUGCGCUCUCACCACCACCACCACCGCCUCCCCCUGCAGGCUGCUCCCUCCCCCUGACUGUUGAUAUCACAGCCCGGAGAGGUUUGAAUCCAGUCUCUGGCCCCAGCCGCCAUGCUGAGCUGAGAGAGAGAGUGAGAGAGUCACUAACCAAACUUUGUCACGCUGCUGCUCCUGCAACGACGCCCGAACAUCUUCGUACACACCGGGGCAAAGAGGAAAACUUCCCAAGGUGAGUAAAGCGUUAUGGAGCAGCUGUAGCGCGAAAUUCUGUUGGCGCUAUCCUGCUUUCGGGGCGUAGGGACUUCUUUUGCGAACUUGUUUCAGCCUGUGUGUGUGUCCCUGCUGGUCGUAUUCAUGCGUGCUGUCGCGGACUUCAAGCUCAGCUGCACUUGUUGCACUGUAGCCUCAACCCCCACUGAGCCACGAAGGAAGGAGAAACGUUACAGAAUUUUGUUUCCUACGCAUCCUUGGCGCAUGAAACUUUCCCC